GGCCUGUAGCUCAGCUUGGUUAGAGCGCACGCCUGAUAAGCGUGAGGUCGAUAGUUCAAGUCUAUCCAGGCCCACCAU
rnacentral:tRNA from 1 species